AGUGAACGCUGGCGGCAGGCUUAACACAUGCAAGUCGAACGGCAGCACAGUAAGAGCCUGCUCUUACGGGUGGCGAGUGGCGGAUGGGUGAGGAAUACAUCGGAAUUUACUUUUUCUAGGGGGGUAACGUAGGGAAACUUACGCCAAUACCGCUUACGACCUACGGGUGAAAGCAGGGGAUCUUCGGACCUUGCGCGAGUGAAUGAGCCGAUGUCGGAUUAGCUAGUUGGCGGGGUAAAGGCCCACCAAGGCGACGAUCCGUAGCUGGUCUGAGAGGAUGAUCAGCCACACUGGAACUGAGACACGGUCCAGACUCCUACGGGAGGCAGCAGUGGGGAAUAUUGGACAAUGGGCGCAAGCCUGAUCCAGCCAUACCGCGUGGGUGAAGAAGGCCUUCGGGUUGUAAAGCCCUUUUGUUGGGAAAGAAAAGCAGCAUGUUAAUACCCCGCUGUUCUGACGGUACCCAAAGAAUAAGCACCGGCUAACUUCGUG
rnacentral:rRNA from 1 species